UACGAAGGGGGCUAGCGUUGCUCGGAAUCACUGGGCGUAAAGGGUGCGUAGGCGGGUCUUUAAGUCAGGGGUGAAAUCCUGGAGCUCAACUCCAGAACUGCCUUCGAUACUGGGAAACUUGAGUCCGGGAGAGGUGAGUGGAACUGCGAGUGUAGAGGUGAAAUUCGUAGAUAUUCGCAAGAACACCAGUGGCGAAGGCGGCUCACUGGCCCGGUACUGACGCUGAGGUGCGAAAGCGUGGGAG
rnacentral:rRNA from 1 species